rnacentral:rRNA from 1 species
CCCUUAGAUGUUCUGGGCUGCACGCGCGCUACACUGAACAGUUCAACAAGUCUUAACCUUGGCCGAUAGGUCUGGGUAAUCUUUGAACGCUGUUCGUGAUUGGGAUAGACCUUUGCAAUUAUGGGUCUUCAACGAGGAAUUCCUAGUAAACGCAAGUCAUCAGCUUGCAUUGAUUACGUCCCUGCCCUUUGUACACACCGCCCGUCGCACCUACCGAUUGAAUGGUCCGGUGAAAUCUCGGGACGGCGGCUUGGUCGCUUGCGUCCGACUGCUGAAACUUGAUUAAACCAUAUCAUUUAGAGGAAGGUGAANUCGUAACA